rnacentral:tRNA from 1 species
GGGCCAGUGGCGCAAUGGAUAACGCGUCUGACCACGGAUCAGAAGAUUCUAGGUUCAACUCCUUGCUGGCUCG